rnacentral:siRNA from 1 species
AGGUGGAGGCUGGCCCUCGUGGCU